UGCGUGAGCCGUGACCCGCUGCGGCACCCACCGGAGACAGGCGCUACCCGAGUACCAGGCUGUGGUCCACAACCUCACUGUAAGGUCUGACUCCAGCUCCAACACUGAGCGGGCUGUUAACACACUGCAGAUCCGCUGGGGGAGCAGACACCGGAGCCAACCCACAGCACACCAGGGUUCUUACCAACUCUACAAUGUUUUCCUGGAAGUGAAUGGAAGGUGUUGGUUCACUUGGGAUGGCAAAUUCAUCCUAACAGCCCAGGGUCUGAUCAGGGUGAUUCAGAAUGUCCCUGGAGGAUGCUUCAGACCCUCCACUGCCAUCGUCACAAUAUGAGAUUUGGGCUGUAAUGGCUACACAGGGUAACACUCCAAAAUCUAAUGACAUGCAGUCAUAGGACAACAGUUUCUAGAGGAGGAAAAACACAAUUUCCUGAAAAGAAACAAACACAAAAACCACAGGCAAAUUGAAGCAGACCAAUGCUUUUCCCUCAAGCAAAAUCCUCAUUACUGCUAACAGAAGUUAUGCACAGACAAGAUGGAGACUUGAGCCUAAAGGGUGCGACUGCCAAGUCACUGCAAGAAGAUUGCACUGAAAUCCAAUGUUGAUCUAUCUUUGUAAGCGCAGUGACUGUGUUAGGGAUACAGAAUUAGCUCCCAGCCUACGCCAACAAGUUGACUGCAUCAGACUAAUUUGCUGAGUUCUCACCAGCCACAUCCCCCAGAACUCCAUGGUGAAUGCUGCAUUACAGAGCUCAGAGCUACAAACUCAAGCUAAUGAAUGCUGUCAGAUAACUAGCUUAGUGAAGGGACACAAAGUCAGUAAAUGUCAUUCAAAAAAGCACCAUUUCAGACAGAAUACAGUACUUGGCAUUUCUGAUGCAAUCCCAAAGACAGAGCUUCACUGCAAAUUUAUAAAACUAGAACAUGUUCCUGCCUUCAAACCCUACACCUCACGAUCCUUGAAAUUAGAUUUAAAUCAUAUACUUUUGUACCUUAAAGGAUCUUCCAUAACAGUGGAGGAAAGGAAAGCAAAUGGUACUAUUCAUCAUAUAAAAUCACUGAAGAAAUCUUUAGUGGUCAUUUUCCUCUCCUGCCAAACUAUUCAUCAAAAUGUCUUAUUUUUUGAUUAAUUCACUCCCCCUCAUCUGUGUUUGAAGCAAAA